rnacentral:rRNA from 1 species
AACGAACGCUGGCGGCGUGCCUAACACAUGCAAGUCGAACGCGAAAGGGACUCGGUUCUGAGUAAAGUGGCGCACGGGUGAGUAACGCGUAGAUAACCUGUCUUCAUGUCUGGAAUAAUACGCCGAAAGGGGUACUAAUACCGGAUAUUCUUGCUUUUCAUAAGUUAUGCAAGCAAAGGUGGCCUCUGCAUAUGCUACUGCAUGAAGAGGGGUCUGCGUACCAUUAGCUAGUAGGUGGGGUAAUGGCCUGCCUAGGCGACGAUGGUUAGCGGGUCUGAGAGGAUGAUCCGCCACACUGGCACUGGAACACGGGCCAGACUCCUACGGGAGGCAGCAGUGAGGAAUAUUGCGCAAUGGGGGAAACCCUGACGCAGCGACGCCGCGUGAGUGAGGAAGGCCUUCGGGUCGUAAAGCUCUGUCAAGAGGAAAGAAGUGUACAAUGGCUAAUACCUGUUGUAUUUGACGGUACCUCUAAAGGAAGCACCGGCUAACUCCGUGCCAGCCGCCGC